GUAGGUGGCAAGCGUUGUCCGGAAUUAUUGGGCGUAAAGCGCGCGCAGGCGGUCCUUUAAGUCUGAUGUGAAAGCCCACGGCUCAACCGUGGAGGGUCAUUGGAAACUGGGGGACUUGAGUACAGAAGAGGAAAGCGGAAUUCCAAGUGUAGCGGUGAAAUGCGUAGAGAUUUGGAGGAACACCAGUGGCGAAGGCGGCUUUCUGGCCUGUAACUGACGCUGAGGCGCGAAAGCGUGGGGAGCAAACAGGGAUUAGAUACCCUGGUAGUCCACGCCGUAAACGAUGAGUGCUAAGUGUUAGGGGGUUUCCCGCCCCUUAGUGCUGCAGCUAACGCAUUAAGCACUCCGCCUGGGGAUACGGCCGCAAGGCUG
rnacentral:rRNA from 1 species